rnacentral:snRNA from 1 species
UCAACCCUGGUUUAGUCACUUU